GGUCAGUGAUGAUUGCUGGCAUGUAUUAUCUGAUCUGAAGGUGAAGUUUAUCACCACAUUAGCUCUAGAAUUACUCUGAGACCCA
ensembl:snoRNA